rnacentral:misc_RNA from 1 species
GAUUNUGGCGUUCAGUGGACNUUCGAUCCAUCCUUGCAAGUAGACUCUUGAUGCUAAGCGUGAGGAAUGCUUUUGGGUGNAUAGACCGUAGCGGNUAUGUUGGCGCAUGAGUUGUAUUGGACCUGUGACUGCUGAGAGNACCCCCGCUGCUGUGCGGCUGACUCUCGGCGCCUGUGUCCCUCCAAUUGCCCGGCUAUCUUUAGCAACUCUCUAACGUGUGCUUGUGUGUUGCUACCGGUGUCCGCUGGAACUCGAUUCAUAAAUGUUGCUUACGUCAUGUGCGCCCUUAGGGCUUGGCAUGUCGGCUUCAAAACGUUCACGACUUUGCCUCGUGCAGCUAGCUUGGGCUAUCUUCAUCAAGGCCACCUCGUGUACGCUGUUGGUUUUGGAUGUGGCCAAUUGAAUGGCUUAAGAUGCUUCGGCGUCCGGUGCCUGCCAAAGUUAGUCCAGUUGGAAACGACAGUUGACCCAGCCACUGCGUCAAGCGGAAAC